rnacentral:rRNA from 1 species
AUUGAACGCUGGCGGCAUGCCUUACACAUGCAAGUCGAACGGCAGCACGGGAGCAAUCCUGGUGGCGAGUGGCGAACGGGUGAGUAAAGUAUCGGAACGUGCCCAGUCGUGGGGGAUAACGUAGCGAAAGUUACGCUAAUACCGCAUACGAUCUAUGGAUGAAAGCGGGGGAUCGCAAGACCUCGCGCGAUUGGAGCGGCCGAUAUCAGAUUAGGUAGUUGGUGGGGUAAAGGCUCACCAAGCCGACGAUCUGUAGCUGGUCUGAGAGGACGACCAGCAACACUGGGACUGGGACACGGCCCAGACUCCUACGGGAGGCAGCAGUGGGGAAUUUUGGACAAUGGGCGAAAGCCUGAUCCAGCCAUGCCGCGUGCAGGAUGAAGGCCUUCGGGUUGUAAACUGCUUUUGUACGGAACGAAAAGGUUUGGCCUAAUAAGCUGAGCUCAUGACGGUACCGUAAGAAUAAGCACCGGCUAACUACGUGCCAGCCGCCGCCGUAA